rnacentral:rRNA from 1 species
GACGAACGCUGGCGGCGUGCCUAACACAUGCAAGUCGAACGGGGUGAUUCGCUUCGGUGGAUCACUUAGUGGCGAACGGGUGAGUAACGCGUGAGAAACCUGCCUCUCAGUGGGGGACAACAGUUGGAAACGACUGCUAAUACCGCAUGACACUUUAGUACCGCAUGGUACAGAAGUCAAAGCUUUAUGUGCUGAGAGAUGGUCUCGCGUCUGAUUAGCUAGAUGGCGGGGUAACGGCCCACCAUGGCGACGAUCAGUAGCCGGUCUGAGAGGAUGAACGGCCACAUUGGGACUGAGACACGGUCCAGACUCCUACGGGAGGCAGCAGUGAGGAAUAUUGGGCAAUGGAGGGAACUCUGACCCAGCCAUGCCGCGUGAGUGAGAAGGUUUUCGAAUUGUAAAGCUCUUUCAGGUGAGAAGAUGAUGACGGUAUCACCAGAAGAAGCCCCGGCAAAACUUCGUGCCAGCAGCCG